rnacentral:rRNA from 1 species
CCUACGGGUGGCUGCAGUAAGGAAUAUUGGUCAAUGGACGCAAGUCUGAACCAGCCAUGCCGCGUGGAGGAUGAAGGUCCUCUGGAUUGUAAACUUCUUUUAUUUGGGAAGAAACUCCCGAUUUCCAUCGGGAUUGACGGUACCAGAUGAAUAAGCACCGGCUAACUCCGUGCCAGCAGCCGCGGUAAUACGGAGGGUGCGAGCGUUAUCCGGAUUAAGUGGGUUUAAAGGGUGCGUAGAGGGAGUGGUGAAAGCUCCGGGCUUAACCCGGAAACUGCCAUUGUGACUAUUUGUCUUGAAUACUCUUGAGGUGAGCGGAAUAUGUCAUGUAGCGGUGAAAUGCUUAGAUAUGACAUAGAACACCCAUUGCGAAGGCAGCUCACUACGGAAAUAUUGACGCUGAGGCACGAAAGCGUGGGGAUCAAACAGGAUUAGAUACCCCAGUAGUC